GACGAACGCUGGCGGCGUGCUUAACACAUGCAAGUCGAACGGAAAGGCCCUGCUGUUGUGGGGUGCUCGAGUGGUGAACGGGGGAGAUACACGUGAGUAACCUGCCCUAGACUUUGGGACAACUUCAGGAACCUGGGGCUAAUACCGGAUAGGAGCUCCUGCUGCAUGGGGGGGGUUGGCAAGGUUCGGCGGAUGGGGAUGGACUCGCGGCUUCUCAGCUGGCGGGUGGGGGCGUGGCUUAGCGAGGCAUCGGCGGGUAGCCGGCCUGGGAGGGUGACCGGCCCCAUUGGGACUGAGGUACGGCCCAGCCCCCAACGGGAGGCAGCGGUGGGGUAUAUUGCACUAUGGGCGGAACCCUGACGCAACACCGCCGCGUGGCGGAUGACGGCCUUGCGGUUGUGAACCGCUUUCGCCUGUGACGAAGCGAUAGUGACGGUAACGGGUAAAGAAGCACCGGCUAACUACGUG
rnacentral:rRNA from 1 species